GGGAAGGCCCUGCCUAUGCGUCAAGCUGGUCCUGGAAGGGAGACAAGCAGGCAGGAAGGAACCAGGAGGCCUUGGACGCACAAGAAAGGAGAAACCGCCGCAGGGUCCAGGAGAACCCCUCGGCCCGGCCAGCCCGGAGGCUCUCUAUGCCAACAGCAAAUCCUGGGGUGCUGCAGCCCACAAGCCCUGGCCCUCACUUUCUUCCUCAGAGAGGAAAAAAAAAAAGAUUCCUGGAGGCACCGGGAGGCAGAUUGGCAUUGGCCAGAGAACAAUGGGCAACUUGGGGACUCUGUGUCAUUGUCAGCCCCUGGCUUCACCCGGUUGAUUGAGCUUGACAAGCCUUCGCCGUCAAGCCUCUGGCCAGGCCUGUCCCGCAGCUGCCGAGUCUGGCCUUUGUGCUCCCAGGCCAGUUAAUUGCUUUGCCGGAGUCUGAACGCAGGGCGUCAGUGGGCUGUUGAACUUCCUAAAUCAAACAUCAGACCUUAUUAAAGGGACAGUGACAAGCCACAAACUGUGUGUGAUAAUAGGAUCCUCAGCAAAAACUGGGGGCGACAGCGCCCACCGCCUCCGGGCUGCCCCGAGGAAGACACUGCGACAAGGUGCCGGCAGCACAGACGUGAGCGGACACGAGGGGGCCGUGGGGGCUCUCCCUGCCCCUCCUGCCUGGCCCCUGGCCCAGUCCGCUGUCCACGCAGCACCCAGAGGAGCACCAAGGCUACUCUGCUGCCAACUCCUUCUGAGGACCCUCGGUUGCACUAAGAAAACCCCCCAGCUCUGACCCCUGAGACCCGGCUCGGGGCCCCCCACCUCUGUGGCCCUCUCCCUGCUCACUCAACCUGGCCUCACAGGCCUCUCGCUGCACUUCCACCUGAAACCCAGUCUCACCUUAGGACGUCUACACUGACAGGUCCCUGCUCUUCCGGAAUGUUCUUCUCCUAGAUCGGUUUUGCACGGCUGGCUCUUAUUCCCAACGCACCCUCAGGUCUUUCCUGAUCAUCCAAUUUAAAGUAUUUGCUCGGUCACACGACUCACCUGGUGUUUUUGUUUGUUUGUUUGUUUGUUUGUUUGUUUUUAUCGUAGCAUUUACCCUUCGCUGCCAGACAUUCUUCCAGCUGUGCGUUGACUUUCGUUCUUCCUCAGUUAAAUUAGCCUCUUCAGUGUAGAAGGUCAUUCAGGAUAGCUCAUGGAAACUGGAUCGAACAAAGGAAUUAUUUUUAUGAGGAUAAAUCUGUGUGUACCGGGUGGCGUUUGCUUGCUGCCCAUUAAGUCUGAACGUUGCAGCUUGGAAGAAAACAACGCUCUCUGAUUAACAAAAACAACCUGAAACAGUUCCCUUCAGCCUGCCGCCUCUGUAUUAUGUUAAACCCUAAUGUAGCAAACACGCCCCGGUGCCCGGUGCCCUCCCAGAACCCAAACCUCCCACUGCUAAAAAUAGCCCCCGGGCUUUCCCUGCGGCUCGAAAACAGGAACAGCAUAA